CAGCCGCCACGGGAAUACGAAGGGGGCUAGCGUUGUUCGGAUUUACUGGGCGUAAAGGGCGCGUAGGCGGACUGAUAAGUCAGGGGUGAAAUCCCAAGGCUCAACCUUGGAACUGCCUUUGAUACCGUUUGUCUUGAGUUCGAGAGAGGUAAGUGGAACUGCGAGUGUAGAGGUGAAAUUCGUAGAUAUUCGCAAGAACACCAGUGGCGAAGGCGGCUUACUGACUCGAAACUGACGCUGAGGCGCGAAAGCGUGGGGAGCAAACAGGAUUAGAUACCCCUGUAGUCCCUGUCUCUUAUAC
rnacentral:rRNA from 1 species